rnacentral:tRNA from 1 species
GGGCCUGUGGUCUAGUGGUAUGACGUCGCCUUGACGUGGCGGAAGUCGCCGGUUCGAUCCCGGUCAGGCCCA